rnacentral:rRNA from 1 species
CCCUUAGAUGUUCUGGGCCGCACGCGUGCUACACUGAGUGGAUCAGCGGGUCAGGUUGCGCGAAAGUGUUUCCUAAUCUUGAAAUCCGCUCGUGAUGGGGAUUGACGGUUGCAAUUUUCCGUCAUGAACGAGGAAUACCUUGUAAGCGCGGGUCAUCAUCCCGCGCUGAAUACGUCCCUGCCCUUUGUACACACCGCCCGUCGCUCCUACCGAUUGAGUGGUCCGGUGAGGCUUUGGGAUCUGGGCGGAAAGAGCGUUUCGCUGUUUCUGCCCGGAAAACUCAGUCGAACCUUAUCAUUUAGAGGAAGGAGAAGUCGUAACAA